AGUGAACGCUGGCGGUAGGCCUAACACAUGCAAGUCGAACGGCAGCACAGUAAGAGCUUGCUCUUACGGGUGGCGAGUGGCGGACGGGUGAUGAAUACAUCGGAAUCUACUUUUUCGUGGGGGAUAACGUAGGGAAACUUACGCCAAUACCGCAUACGACCUACGGGUGAAAGCAGGGGAUCUUCGGACCUUGCGCGAUUGAAUGAGCCGAUGUCGGAUUAGCUAGUUGGCGGGGUAAAGGCCCACCAAGGCGACGAUCCGUAGCUGGUCUGAGGGGAUGAUCAGCCACACUGGAACUGAGACACGGUCCAGACUCCUACGGGAGGCAGCAGUGGGGAAUAUUGGACAAGGGGCGCAAGCCGGAUCCAGCCAUACCGCGUGGGUGAAGAAGGCCUUCGGGUUGUAAAGCCCUUUUGUUGGGAAAGAAAAGCAGCAGGUUAAUACCCCGCUGUUCUGACGGUACCCAAAGAAUAAGCACCGGCUAACUUCGU
rnacentral:rRNA from 1 species